rnacentral:rRNA from 1 species
AGUGAACGCUGGUGGUAGGCCUAACACAUGCAAGUCGAACGGCAGCACAGUAAGAGCUUGCUCUUACGGGUGGCGAGUGGCGGACGGGUGAGGAAUACAUCGGAAUCUACUUUUUCGUGGGGGAUAACGUAGGGAAACUUACGCUAAUACCGCAUACGACCUACGGGUGAAAGCAGGGGAUCUUCGGACCUUGCGCGAUUGAAUGAGCCGAUGUCGGAUUAGCUAGUUGGCGGGGUAAAGGCCCACCAAGGCGACGAUCCGUAGCUGGUCUGAGAGGAUGGUCAGCCACACUGGAACUGAGACACGGUCCAGACUCCUACGGGAGGCAGCAGUGGGGAAUAUUGGACAAUGGGCGCAAGCCUGAUCCAGCCAUACCGCGUGGGUGAAGAAGGCCUUCGGGUUGUAAAGCCCUUUUGUUGGGAAAGAAAAGCAGCAGGUUAAUACCCCGCUGUUCUGACGGUACCCAAAGAAUAAGCACCGGCUAACUUCGUG